ensembl:misc_RNA Metazoa_SRP Metazoan signal recognition particle RNA
GCCGGGCGUGGUAGCGCACGCCUGUAAUCCCAGCUACUCCGGAGGCUGAGGCAGGAGAAUUGCUUGAGCCCAGUGGGCGGAGGUUGCAGUGAGCUGAGGUCACACCACUGCACUCCAGCCUGGGCAACAGAGUGAGACUCUGUCUCAA